GUGUGUGUGUGUGUGUGUGUGAGUUCAUCAGAGUGUGAGUGAGUUUGAGUGCGUGUCAGUAUUUCAUAGAAUUUGCUUAGUGAACAGUUGUCGUUUAUAAGUUUAUUAGUUCAGGUGUUACUAACCUCAGCAACGACGAAGGUGAACUACCGAACUUGUUGUUCGGUAGUUUGCUUCCUCUCAGCCACUGUGAUUGGCCAGAUGAUACCGCGGAGGACCUGCACGCCUGAAUAAGCGUCAGUUGACCAAUUGCCGACCAGGUGAUGACAGCAGCACGAGCUGUCUUAAAUAAAUAAUGAAAUUAAGGCCAGAACACCAGCUGUAAGCCCGACCAUUGGCUGAUAACAGAAGACCUCUGUAAUAAGAUGCUAAACGACAGGAAGAACUGCAGUCCAGAAGUAAUAAAGUGGAGAGGAUAAUAAUGUUGUUUACUACAUGAGCUGACCUUACCACUUGCUGAAGCACGUUAAUACUCUACAAGAAAAUGCUAAUUAUGUGAGAGAGGGGUCAUCAUCAUCGUCAUCACACGUCUCCCUAACACCUCUCACUGUCCAGAUAAAGGGAACAACUAUAAAGGAGUUACCGCCCGCCUUAGGUGGCUGGUCGUGCCCACCUCAGUACUUGUUUACAUGGUGACGUCACUCCUUGACCACAAAUCUGCUUGAGACUGUACUGUACCAUCAACAAUGUUCAGGUAUGUUACUUAGCAUUGCCAGUGAUUAUCGAGGUUUAAUUAAUAUAUUUUGGUGUGCCAGGUCAGUCAGGUGUGUCAUUAGAGGUCAACUGUGCCUCCAUGA